AGAGUUUGAUCCUGGCUCAGAACGAACGCUGGCGGCAGGCCUAACACAUGCAAGUCGAGCGCUACCUUCGGGUGGAGCGGCGGACGGGUUAGUAACGCGUGGGAAUAUACCCAGUUCUAAGGAAUAGCCACUGGAAACGGUGAGUAAUACCUUAUACGCCCUUCGGGGGAAAGAUUUAUCGGAAUUGGAUUAGCCCGCGUUAGAUUAGAUAGUUGGUGGGGUAAUGGCCUACCAAGUCUACGAUCUAUAGCUGGUUUGAGAGGAUGAUCAGCAACACUGGGACUGAGACACGGCCCAGACUCCUACGGGAGGCAGCAGUGGGGAAUCUUAGACAAUGGGCGCAAGCCUGAUCUAGCCAUGCCGCGUGAGUGAAGAAGGCCUUAGGGUCGUAAAGCUCUUUCGCCAGGGAUGAUAAUGACAGUACCUGGUAAAGAAACCCCGGCUAACUCCGUGCCAGCAGCCGCGGUAAUACGGAGGGGGUUAGCGUUGUUCGGAAUUACUGGGCGUAAAGCGCACGUAGGCGGAUUGGAAAGUUGGGGGUGAAAUCCCGGGGCUCAACCCCGGAACUGCCUCCAAAACUAUCAGUCUAGAGUUCGAGAGAGGUGAGUGGAAUUCCAAGUGUAGAGGUGAAAUUCGUAGAUAUUUGGAGGAACACCAGUGGCGAAGGCGGCUCACUGGCUCGAUACUGACGCUGAGGUGCGAAAGUGUGGGGAGCAAACAGGAUUAGAUACCCUGGUAGUCCACACCGUAAACGAUGAAUGCCAGACGUCAGCAAGCAUGCUUGUUGGUGUCACACCUAACGGAUUAAGCAUUCCGCCUGGGGAGUACGGUCGCAAGAUUAAAACUCAAAGGAAUUGACGGGGGCCCGCACAAGCGGUGGAGCAUGUGGUUUAAUUCGACGCAACGCGCAGAACCUUACCAACCCUUGACAUACUUGUCGCGGAUUCCAGAGAUGGAUUCCUUCAGUUCGGCUGGACAAUGUACAGGUGCUGCAUGGCUGUCGUCAGCUCGUGUCGUGAGAUGUUCGGUUAAGUCCGGCAACGAGCGCAACCCACGUCCUUAGUUACCAGCAUUUAGUUGGGUACCCUAAGGAGACUGCCGGUGAUAAGCCGGAGGAAGGUGUGGACGACGUCAAGUCAUCAUGGCCCUUACGGGUUGGGCUACACACGUGCUACAAUGGCAUCUACAGUGAGUUAAUCUCCAAAAGAUGUCUCAGUUCGGAUUGGGGUCUGCAACUCGACCCCAUGAAGUUGGAAUCGCUAGUAAUCGCGGAACAGCAUGCCGCGGUGAAUACGUUCCCGGGCCUUGUACACACCGCCCGUCACACCAUGGGAAUUGGGUCUACCCGAAGGUGGUGCGCCAACUAUUUAUAGAGGCAGCCAACCACGGUAGGUUCAGUGACUGGGGUGAAGUCGUAACAAGGUAGCCGUAGGGGAACCUGCGGCUG
rnacentral:rRNA from 1 species